rnacentral:rRNA from 1 species
UACAGAGGUCUCAAGCGUUGUUCGGAUUCAUUGGGCGUAAAGGGUGCGUAGGCGGCGCGGUAAGUCGGGUGUGAAAUUUCGAGGCUUAACUCGAAACUGCAUUCGAUACUGCCGUGCUUGAGGACUGGAGAGGAGACUGGAAUUUACGGUGUAGCGGUGAAAUGCGUAGAUAUCGUAAGGAAGACCAGUGGCGAAGGCGGGUCUCUGGACAGUUCCUGACGCUGAGACG